UGAUGGGAGAUGAUGGUACUUCUGGAGUAAGCCCCGGCUAACNANNUGCCAGCAGCCGCGGUAAUACGUAGGGGGCAAGCGUUGUCCGGAUUUACUGGGUGUAAAGGGUGCUCAGGCGGAUUUGUAAGUCAGAGGUGAAAUCUUACAGCUUAACUGUGAAACUNCCUUUGAUACUGCAAGCCUAGAGUAUGGAAGNGAGUGAUGGAAUAUCUGGUGUAGCAGUGAAAUGCGUAGAUAUCAGAUAGAACACCAAUGGCGAAGGCAGUCACUUGGUCCAUUACUGACGCUAAAGCACGAAAGCGUGGGUAGCAAACA
rnacentral:rRNA from 1 species